CGCGUAGGCGGCUUUAUAAGUCAGAUGUGAAAUCCCACGGCUUAACUGUGGAAGUGCAUUUGAAACUGUGAGGCUUGAGUAUCGGAGGGGAGUGUGGAAUUCCCGGUGUAGAGGUGAAAUGCGUUGAUAUCACAAGGAACACCUGUGGCGAAAGCGGCUCACUGGGUCUUUUCUGACGCUGAGGCACGAAAGCUGGGGGAGCGAACG
rnacentral:rRNA from 1 species